CCUACGGGUGGCAGCAGUGAGGAAUAUUGGUCAAUGGGCGUAAGCCUGAACCAGCCAAGUCGCGUGAGGGAUGAAGGUUCUAUGGAUCGUAAACCUCUUUUAUAAGGGGAUAAAGUGCGGGACGUGUCCCGUUUUGUAGGUACCUUAUGAAUAAGGAUCGGCUAACUCCGUGCCAGCAGCCGCGGUAAUACGGAGGAUCCGAGCGUUAUCCGGAUUUAUUGGGUUUAAAGGGUGCGUAGGCGGCCUGUUAAGCGAGCGGUGAAAGUCCGUGGCUCAACCAUAGAAUUGCGGUUGAAACUGGGAGGCUUGAGUAUGUUUGACGCAUGCGGAAUGCGUGGUGUAGCGGUGAAAUGCUUAGAUAUCACGCAGAACCCCGAUUGCGAAGGCAGUCUGCGAAGCCAUGACUGACGCUGAUGCACGAAGGCGUGGGUAUCAAACAGGAUUAGAUACCCUUGUAGUC
rnacentral:rRNA from 1 species